UACGUAGGGGGCGAGCGUUGUCCGGAAUCAUUGGGCGUAAAGCGCGUGUAGGCGGCUCGUUAAGUCCGGUGUGAAACCUUGGGGCUCAACCCCAAGCCUGCACUGGAUACUGGCGAGCUCGAGUCCGGGAGGGGAGAGCGGAAUUCCUAGUGUAGCGGUGAAAUGCGCAGAUAUUAGGAAGAACACCGGUGGCGAAGGCAGCUCUCUGGGACGGUACUGACGCUGAGACGCGAAAGCGUGGGGAGCGAACAGG
rnacentral:rRNA from 1 species